GUUCUUCCUCUGGAGCGUAUGACUUUGGAUACUGAACAUAGUCUUCAGUAUUAGCCAGACCAGUUUCUUCAGGACUGAGGUUCAGAAUGGCCCUGGUUCUUGUGGAGUUUACCGUUCAGUCCAAACGGGAGCCCGCAGAGGAAGGUGGCACAGACUCAGCAUAAAGCUCCGGUCAAAGGAAGAACCAGAACAAGACCCCAGAUGACUUACAGCAAGGCCACGUUUGGUUCUUCCAAAUACCGUUAAGAAGUAAGCCAUGGUACUAGUUUGUUAGGCAUCUGGAGCCUUGAAUGCAUUAACACAUUUAAUUCUUUUCGCAUCCUUAAUGAGAUACUAUUUUGCCCAUCUUACAAGUGAAGAAACUUAGGUUCGGAGAGGUUAAGAAACUUGCCUUGAAAACAAAAAUCCCUGCCUUUAACCAUACUUUUUAACAGAGGACCCAAGACUUGAAAAUUUGUUUUAGAUUAUCCCCAACAUCAGUACUUCCCAGUCAAUUACUCCUUGGUAGCAAAAGUCGCAAAAAAUUCAAGUGCCCUCCAAAGAUAAUUUUACGGUGGUCCCCAGCUCUAAUGGACAUCGCACAGUGACGUGUCAGCGUGUCCCAUUGCUUUAUUGAAUAGGGACUCGGCUUUUCCUAAGGCAGCAGAACCUGGAACACAGCUGCCUCGAUCUUGAAAUGAGAGAUACCUGGGUCAAAAGCCCCGUUUAAGAGACGUGGAAGUCAUCAUUUUUCAAACCAACAUCACGUUAGAUUUUGAUUCAUCUCAUGUUCAAAAGCGCAUCGGGUGCAAGAAUGUCAUUUCCUUGUAAUAACCAUCGAUUUGUGUAGCACGUAAACUUUUAUCAAAGGCUUACUGGCUUUGCGGCACCUUGGUGGUGUGGAUAUUGGAGUCCCAUUGGCCAGAUGAGACUUACUUCUUUUAGGAAACUGUCCAAUUGCCAAAAGUUCUCCUGGCAGUGCGAUGACCCAACCCACAUUCUGUUGAACCCCAGCUGCUCAAAGGGUGGUCCUCGGACCGGCAGUGCAGCCUCAAUGGGGAGCUUGUUGGAAAUGAAGGCUCUCGGGCCGCAUCCAGUUCUCCUGAAUCAGAAUCUUUUAACAAGACCGCCGUAAAUGCCCAUGCCUGUCGAUGUUGGAGAAGCUGGGUCUUCUCCCCGUCCCCACACCUCUCUUGUCCAGAAUCUAGACUGUAAGCCCCGUGAGGGCCAGGCCUGCCCCGGCUGGUCUACCGUGGUACCCCCAGCACUCGCCCGGUGCCCAGGCCAGAGCAGGUGUCCCAUUAGACACAUCCACCACCGCAUCUCUGGGUAGUUGGUCCCGCCACCUACUUCGUGUCUGCAUCCCUUCUGGAGGGAACAGCAUCAUCUUUCAUGUCGCUGAAAGCCCACCCUCAGCACAAAAGUAUUUGCCUUAUUCAUUUGAAAAAGGUGAAAUCAUGCUUGAAAAAUACACCGAAGUCUGGGGUUUGCCACCCUGUGUCUCAGCCUGUGAAACCAGUGCCUGUGGAGAGUGGGGACAUUAUACUGUGUAAUUAUUUAAAUGAAAACAACAUAAAUGAAGAGAAGGGCUAUUUCUAUCAAGUGCUGCUAAUUAAAUGAGAACUAAUGGGCCCUGCUGAGAAAGGAUACAGCCGGAGCGAGCAUGAAAAACUCGCUGCCAGUGAAGACCAGCAGACAACGGGACAGUUUUCCUAGUGGGAUAAUUAUGACUCCUGGAGGAGACUGUCCAAGGCAGGAUGAGGCACCGGAGAUGCAGACGCAAAAGCAAAAGGAACCAAGCCGCGGGCUGACCGAGCUCAAACGCUAACGGGGAGGGUGUAACGUUAGCACACAAAUCUCUGGAAUCGUCUCAGUGGAGAUGAAGCAGGGCAGGGAACAGAGAAGGAUGGGGAGAUGCUGUCUCUUUGAGGGUGGGACCCAAGAGCCCAGGUCUGGAGACCGGAGGAAGAGCGUCCAGGCCAGAGGGAGCAGCGCCGCCAAGGCUCCCGAGGUGAGCUUCCGUUUCCCACCGGGAAAGAAGGCCCGUCCCGCCAGAAAGGAGCAAGUGGCCAUCCAAGGGCCGUGUGUACGCCUGUCCUGCCCAGCACGCCAGGUGUCUCUGCCCAGGGACACGCCAACGAGCAAGCUAAACUUAGGAUCCAAGAGCAGGAGAAAAUCUUGGCCAAUAAAGUGUUGUAGACAGAAACGCCACACUGAACAAUGCCCAUGGCCAAGCCUUUGACUGGAAAGGCUGUCCUGUCCAUGCAAGGGAAAGAAGCCGCGGUCCUUGGAGGCCGAAGCCCUGGAUCCCAACUGAGUCCGUGCAAGGAGCUCGGAGAAGAACAGAGGUGGCAUCAGCAGACAGGUCCACCCUCGGCCGUGUUGGGAGGUACAUUUUAAAGUUUUGCCAAAGCGCAAUCAGCAUCGAUGUCCAAGGUGUGGGCCCACCUUGAACCGUGUCAGGAGUCCCCCGAGGCGCUGAAGGACCCUGAACAGUAAAGAGUGACGAGGACACACGUAUCAACCGGUACUUUCCUUUUUGGGAACGGAAAACCCGAGUUAAUGUGAACAGCCUUGAAGAUGACGCCGUAUAUGAAUACAUGAAAUAAUAGGAAAGGAGGAAGGAGAAAAUGAAGGAGAAGUCAUAUUUGCUGCUUUUGACCACUGUGCUGUGCCAAGCAGAAAUAUUGAGAACUGGUAACUACUGUUGUUUGUUUUGUUUUGUUCUGUUGUCUUUUUCGGGCUGUG